rnacentral:rRNA from 1 species
CGCGAAGAACCUUACCUGGUCUUGACAUCCACGGAAGUUUUCAGAGAUGAGAAUGUGCCUUCGGGAACCGUGAGACAGGUGCUGCAUGGCUGUCGUCAGCUCGUGUUGUGAAAUGUUGGGUUAAGUCCCGCAACGAGCGCAACCCUUAUCCUUUGUUGCCAGCGGUCCGGCCGGGAACUCAAAGGAGACUGCCAGUGAUAAACUGGAGGAAGGUGGGGAUGACGUCAAGUCAUCAUGGCCCUUACGACCAGGGCUACACACGUGCUACAAUGGCGCAUACAAAGAGAAGCGACCUCGCGAGAGCAAGCGGACCUCAUAAAGUGCGUCGUAGUCCGGAUUGGAGUCUGCAACUCGACUCCAUGAAGUCGGAAUCGCUAGUAAUCGUGGAUCAGAAUGCCACGGUGAAUACGUUCCCGGGCCUUGUACACACCGCCCGUCACACCAUGGGAGUGGGUUGCAAAAGAAGUAGGUAGCUUAACCUUCGGGAGGGCGCUUACCACUUUGUGAUUCAUGACUGGGGUGAAGUCGUAACAAGGUAACCGUAGGGGAACCUGCGGUUGGAUCACCUCCUU